UUAUGCAAGAGAGAGAAUUUGAGUGUGUGGUGUGCGUAUGUUUGAGAAUGAGAAAAAAUGUUAUCUAUGGCAAACCUAAACAUUGUAUAUUGAGCAUUAUCUAUAUAUAUAUAUGCCAACCGUUUGACAGAAAAUGAACAGUUCAAACAAAUGAAAGAGGAAAACAAAGAAACCAACACAAGAACAGAAGGCGGAGGAAGCCACUCUACUCCUGAUGUAACUGGUGAUCAAUAGUUCAAGCCUGUCAGCUGGCGCAGUCGCUGGGAGUGAGGUCCCCUGCCUGUGUCAAUUAAUUAAUCAUCACUAUGGUAACCCCCUGGAGGAGGAGGUGUAGACUUUACUGCCAUUGUCUAAAAUGCUCAGUGCCUGACUACGCAUGUUUAUGUCGUAACCUUGGUGACAGGCUCAAAUUUGGUGGUGAUGAUUGUGGUGCAUCAUGGUGCCGAUAUCAAUCUCCACGGGAUGUAAAGGAUUUUCUGCUCUGUUAUUUAUUAUGUAUGCAACAGAAAACUGUAGAUACUCGAAAUUGUCUGCAGUAGCUGUCAUUUUUAUCAGCUAUGUCUUCACCUACAGCAAAGUUAUUGCAAUCGUGAUUUCACAAUCGUCUUCACAAUCACACAGACCAAACAGACAGGACACCCAUGUUUCUGUUUCAAAAUGGCGUGCUCUGCUUUGGGACUAAACUAUUUUUUUAGAUGUCAAAAGCUUCUUUCAUACCAAGCAACCGGCGUGAGUUGAAUAUAUUCAUGGAUUUUUUUUCCCCCCGUGGAAAGGUAAAUGAAGUCCUACUGAUGGUGUCGACUCCUUGCAGGCUGCACUGCAUGUUGCUUGGCGGCGGUGGACAUCUGGAUCCUGGCCUUGCCUGCGCUUCACAGGCCGACUGGACGGACGGUUGAUCGGCGGGUCGACCAAACAAGGUCGGCCCUUGAGGGAUGAAGCUUCUGGCAAAGGUUAUACUGUUGUCCGUGACCUCUGUGAUUCUUAUUCUGAUUUUCUGGAUUAUAAAGGACCAACCGAUUGGUCACGUGGCCAGGACGUCAUGCUUCUCUACUAACCUGACGCUCGUCUCUGCGUUUUUCGACAUCGGUGAUCACAACAAAGGAGAAGGUCGGAGAGCAGUUUCAGAGUAUUACACCUGGGGCACAAUCUUCUCCUACAUCCACACGCCCCUUGUUUUCUACACGGACUCGAAAAUAUUCGCUCAACACUUGUUGGACGUGCGAUCUCGGCUCCCUCUCAACUUAACCCACAUAGUGCUACUCGAUCGGGCCUCACUGUGGCCGUUCAAACUCAGGGACUCCAUUGCAAGCCUGUACGCCGAUCCAAAUUACCCCAAGCAUCCACCGAACACCGUGGUACCCGACUACACCUGCGCGAUGCACUCCAAAUACGCAUGUCUGAAGGACGCCAUUUUACGUCAACCACCUCUUGUGACGUCAGACUACGUGGCUGGAUAGACAUCGGCUAUUUCCGUGACCUGGAGGGCGAUAAUAAAGAGUACUGCCUUCUCCUCCCUCCAUCAGUGACCAAGAGCGCAGUGCUGUUUAACCAGCUGACCGUGCCCGAUUUCUCCCUCACACCUCAUGACAUUUUCUACAAAAACUUUGUCUGGGUGGGCGGAGGGAUGUUCGUAGCUGCGCGUGACGUGAUGCUGAAGUUCUGUGACGAAUAUCAAAGGGCAGCAACCUUUUUCCUCACUCAUCGUCAGCUCAGCUCCACGGACCAGCAGACGCUGUACGCUUCUAUGACCUACGAAGGUCGGCGUGACGUCAACUUGACGGUUGACAUUCAGGUGGAGCCAGGAGAGCAUGACUGGUUCGAUCUGGGAUUAUCCGUCCUUCGUGAAAUUGACAGUUGAUCCCUACUCUACUAGAAACUUUAGUCUGGAAACUAUGGAAAUACAUCUGGAAGAAGGUUGAGAUCUCAAAGCCACGUGCAUCAAGAUCAUCAUCGUCAUCGUCAUCGUCAUCGUCGUCGUCGUCGUCCUCAAGAGUCACCAGAAUCGUCGAACCCUGGCAAGCAGGAAGUAUGUGCUUGAUGACCGCUGGGCCACUGAGUGUUAGGGUUUCUAGAGGAUUAGCUGAUGUGAAGAUAAGAGAUUUUUAUGGCUUUUCAAGUCGAGUGGCAGUCGCCACUUCAGUAUUUAUGAUCAGGGUGCAAAUCUAGUCCGGCACUGUACACAGGAGAGACAGAGAAAUGUAAAAAAGUGGAAAAAUACUGUUGACAAAUUGGUUCAUAUGAUUAAAUAUAAAUCAAUGUUUGUUCUCCAGAGGAAAUCCGUCCUCGUCUUGGGAUGUUGAACCCGUCUUCACUU
rnacentral:misc_RNA from 1 species